UGCUGUUUUGUUAGAGGGUGGGCUAUGUACUUAUGUAGAUGUGUGUAUGAGUAGAUUUGUUUGUUGUUUUUCUAUUGGGAAGCUUGAUGAAUUAUGUGAAGUUAUUUCAGGGAAGUGAAUGUUUUGUUAUUAUCUGGUUUGUUUGUUUGUGUGGUGGAGUGAGGGUGAUAAGUUUUGAGAAGAGCUUAGAGGAGACUUAAACCAGCUUUGUAUGAGAGGGUGUUCCUUUUGUUGGAUGGGGAUUGUGGCUUCUCAUGUGGGGGUCCAGAAGCUAAGAAAUGUUGAUUUAUGUUAAUGAAAUGUGUUUAUUUGUGUUAUUCUGGUAAGAGUAGUUCUAAUUUUGUGCUUUCUAGUGGUAGUAGUGAUUUGGAGGUACCUAUCUUAAAAGUACUGGAAGAGGAUGAUUUCCUUAAGCACUAAUUGUUCUCAGAGCGUCAUGUUUAAAGUGUAAUGUAUGAAUAGGUUCUUGAGGUGUAAAACAUGACUUUGAGAAGAAAAAAAUUUUCUAAAAACAUGACUUAAGAAGAAAAGAAUUUAUUUGUAUGCAAAUUAAUAGGUCUGAAAACAGUUAUUUUUUCGUCUUUUGGUUUUGGAUAAGGUUGGAUGAGAAAAAUAGCCUAAAUACAUGCCUGCAAGGAGUUAAUUAUCAGGAGCCUCAUUGUAGGCAUUGUCUUAAAUCCUGCUUAAGAGAAAAGCAGUCUUCUCUUCUAUGUUCCCCUAAACAAAAUUCAUCAAAGCUGUUCUGAGGAUUUAAAAGGACACUGUGUGUUUUCUGCCUUUGUGUACAAGUGGGGACUAUCAUAAUGAGCUCUGCAUGCUAGAGUUUCUUUAUCUUUGGAUAAAGUUUUGCAGAUCUUAAAUUGCAUGCAAGUUAGUUAUUUGGAUUUGGGAUACAAAUCUCUAACAGCCUUCAGUGCAAAGAAGGUUGUGCUAAUUGACUGUCCUGUCAGAAGCUGCAGAGUCUCUUGUACAUCCCAGAGACAGACUUUGUGCUACCGAUUACUAGGCUCCUGGAAUGAGCUCCUAUACAAGAAGUGCAGACAGCAGCUCUGAUCCCUGACCAGUAGUUACUUGGUCUGCUUCUCACAGGAACACAGAUCCUUGGAUCUCUUCUUCAGGUACAGAGAAUCUGCUGCAGCUGAUGGAACAGCACCUUCAAUUUGCUCCUUAUGCUGUGGAAUUUAGGAGGCUCAUGCACUUCAAUUAAAUGAAAUUGCAAAACUAAAUAACAGCUUGCCAUCCGUCUGAACUUCUCAGAUCCAUUGGCAGCUGUGUGCUCUGGAAGGGGGAAGAUUACAGUAGGCAAAAUGGAUGCAUUAAAACUGCUGUCUGUGUUCAGAGUAGGUGUGUAUGGUGCAGAAUGCCUCCUGUACCUUAUAUCUUCCUCUCUGUCAACGCUGUCUUCUGAAUAGAAGUUACCCUGACUGGGGCACAACAGUACCUGUCCUCAUCGGCUUCUUCGAGUACGCUGGAAGUGCUGAAACCCCUCAUGCUGAAAGAAGUUUACUGUGCUCUUGAAUAAAUGUGGCAUUUUAUUUGUAAUGAGAUAAAUCACAAGACAAUGAUCAGAAAACAUGUGGCUGAGGUGCAAAUGGCAGAGAGAGAACUAGGUGCCUGGACUCAAAUACACAAUGUGGAAAUCAUCUGUUUGUUGGCUGUUCAGGCAUGUUUGUUGUCAGACUCAGUUGGACAAAAACCACCCAUCUGGAGCCCAUGGUGGUGUCUCCCUCUCCUGUGAAAUACUUGAGUAGGCUGGCUCAAAAAGAUAAGCAGACUUCAGUUUGUUCAACAACUGGUUUUGCGACUUGAAAUGUACACAAACUGUGUUGUAUCAUUGUACAAGUUGGAAUUUAAUUGAAUCCUCCCUCUUAAUCCUUUAGGAAUCUCUCACACCUUUUCCCAGAGUAUCAUGUUCAGUUCUGCUGGUCCUGCACUGAAACCCACACAUAGAAACCUCAGUAACUGAGAACUUUCUGGGAGACACCAACGGCUGCUACUCCAGCAAGGAGAUGAAAUCUUUGUUCCAGUGUAUGAUUAUACAAAAAUAUUCACCAGUGGUUAUCUUUGCUGAGGUGACGUAUCUGGACUGAGCUGUAGCGAGUUUGAAUGAAAUGAAAGCAGGAAGAAUAUAUGGAGUUUUGUCUCUUAUCUGUCCUGGGCUUUAUGAGAAAAUGGAAUGAAGAUUUUCAGUGAAGGGAAAAAAUAGCAAAGCUGUCAAGCAUCAGGCAUACAAAAUAACUCAAGUAAUUUUUUUUUUCUUUUGACAAGAAUGUA